CCUUAAUACAAACAAUUCGGUAUAGACGAUAUUUGUUGUGUUUAAAACAGAUAUGAUAGUGAUAACCAGUAUCACCCAGUUAUCUUAAUGAGACUUUAAAUCUACAAUUUAUGAAAAUCCGGGUUUUCUAACAAGUCAUUGCUUGCUUAGGUCAAUAUUUGACAAUAGCUCGUGCGGGUCCGAUAGAUACGUAACGUUCACAUUAAUAAACACAGCUGCUGAAAGGUUGGCCGCAUUAGUUCUUACUGAUAUACUUUCAAUUUUAAUCCUCUUCAAAAUAAAAAAAAAUAAGAAUAACUA